rnacentral:rRNA from 1 species
AUUGAACGCUGGCGGCAGGCCUAACACAUGCAAGUCGAGCGAGCGGCGGACGGGUGAGGAAUGUAUGGGGACUGCCCGAUAGAGGGGGAGAACAACUGGAAACGGGGGCUAAUAUCGCAUACUGUAGGAUAACCCAUAUGGGAUUGGCUAGUAGGUAAGGGAAUGGCUUACCCAGGCGACGCUCCCUAGCGGGUCUGAGCGGAUGAUCAGCCACACUGGGACUGAGACACGGCCCAGACGCCUACGGAGGCAGCAGUGGGGAAUAUUGCACAAUGGGCGCAAGCCUGAUGCAGCCAUGCCGCGUGUAUGAAGAAGGCCCUAGGGUUGUAAAGUACUUUCAGUCGGGAGGCGUUACCGACAGAAGAAGCACCGGCUAACUCCGUGCCAGCAGCCGCGGUAAUUC